rnacentral:rRNA from 1 species
GAUGAACGCUGGCGGCGUGCCUAAUACAUGCAAGUCGAGCGAACAGACGAGGAGCUUGCUCCUCUGACGUUAGCGGCGGACGGGUGAGUAACACGUGGAUAACCUACCUAUAAGACUGGGAUAACUUCGGGAAACCGGAGCUAAUACCGGAUAAUAUAUUGAACCGCAUGGUUCAAUAGUGAAAGACGGUUUUGCUGUCACUUAUAGAUGGUUCCGCGCCGCAUUAGCUAGUUGUUAAGGUAACGGCUUACCAAGGCAACGAUGCGUAGCCGACCUGAGAGAGUGAUCGGCCACACUGGAACUGAGACACGGUCCAGACUCCUACGGGAGGCAGCAGUAGGGAAUCUUCCGCAAUGGGCGAAAGCCUGACGGAGCAACGCCGCGUGAGUGAUGAAGGUCUUCGGAUCGUAAAACUCUGUUAUUAGGGAAGAACAGAUGUGUAAGUAACUAUGCACGUCUUGACGGUACCUAAUCAGAAAGCCACGGCUAACUACGUG